rnacentral:tRNA from 1 species
AAAGAAAUACUACAAAGAAGCUUCUAACUUCUUAAAGAGCCCGGGUUCAU